rnacentral:rRNA from 1 species
GACGUAGGGCGCGAGCGUUGUCCGGAUUUAUUGGGCGUAAAGAGCUCGUAGGCGGUUUGUCGCGUCGUCCGUGAAAACUCACAGCUUAACUGUGAGCUUGCGGUCGAUACGGGCAGGCUAGAGUUCGGUAGGGGAGACUGGAAUUCCUGGUGUAGCGGUGAAAUGCGCAGAUAUCAGGAGGAACACCGGUGGCGAAGGCGGGUCUCUGGGCAAUAACUGACGCUGAGGAGCGAAAGCGUGGGGAGCGAACAGG